UAAAAGGUGUCUUAUUAUUAUUAUUUUGGGGUGGAGGGAAAGAAGGAGGGAGGGAGGGAGAGAGGAGAGAGAAAAAGAUGUUUGAACACGAAGCGAGCGGACUAUGUUAUUGACUCCUCCUCCUCCUCCUCCUCCUCCUUCUUCUUCCUCUUCGUUCUUCCCUCCUCCUCCUCCUUCUGCCCUGACUUGAUUAAAACCAUUUUCUGCACGGUGACUUAAGGAUGGGUUGCAGUAGUAGGCCAGACAUUUUUAUUUUUAUUAGGGCAAUUUUUGAUAUUUUAGAGUAAUUCUGUUACAGGGAAAGACUUGUGAUAAGGGUUCAUAUUCCUAAAGGUAUCAGGUAUUAAACAUUAGUGUGUGCGUGUGUGUGUGUGUGUGUGUGUGUGUGUGUGUGUGUGUGUCAGUACGAUUACCCCAAGGCCACAGAGAAGAUUAAUCGGGUUUUCAUGGGUGGUUUUCCCGCUUAAGAGAGAGAGAGAGAGAGAGAGAGAGAGAGAGAGAGAGAGAGAGAGAGAGAGAGAGAGAGAGAGAGAGAGAGAGAGAGAGAGAGAGAGAGAGAGAGAGAUGAAUGGAUAGAUAGAUAAGAAAAUAAAUGGAUAAGGAAAUUAGAAUAGAUAAACAUGAAUGGAUAGAUAGAUAGACAGAGAGAGAGAUGAAUGGAUAGAAAUAAUAGAUAAGGAAAUAAAUGAAUAAGGAAAUUAGAAUAGUUAAAAAUGAAUAGAUAGAUAGAUAGAUAGACAGAUAGUUAAGGUGCAGAAGUGUCGUGUAAAUCUAUCCCUGGCAUCACAAAACAGGCCAUGAAAACCCCAGCAACUUCUACGAGAGGCUUUUCAAACAGGCGAUCUGGGGCGCCGAGACUUUUAAGAACGCGAACCAAAGAUAUAAUGUAAGAAAAAUCAGUUUCCUUCGACCAUACACAUGUUAAUAAAUAGCAGAAUCGUAAAAUACAGUAAAAACAAUAAAGAAUGAGUUGAAAUAAGUAUCCAGAGGGCUUUGUGGCAAUACAGAACAUCAAGACAAACUAAAUUAGAUGAUAUUGUAACGGUAGCAAAAACAGAUAAACUUAAAUCAUAAAACAGUCAUUCUUGAGGUCAGUAAAAAGAAGAUAGACAUAAUAACAAGAAAAUAAGUAAUGUAGAAGCAAGAGAGAUUUCAGAUUAUGAGUUCAGGGAUAACUUGAAUAAUCUAAAAGCCAAUGAAAAUAAAACAUACAUAGAUUAGCAAAAGAAUAUGUAUUAGGCUGACCAAAAAAACAUAAAAAUAAGAGAGAUUUCAGAUUAUGAGUUCAGGGAUAACUUGAAUAAUCUAAAAGCCAAUGAAAAUACAACGUACAUAGAUUAGCAAAAAAAUAUGUAUUAGGUUGACCAAAAAAAAACGUAAAAACAAGAGAUAUUUCAGAUUAUGAGUUUUAAGACAUACAGAGAUAUAAGAGCAUAAACAAAGCCAUGGCUGCGCUUGGCUACGGUGCUCAUCUCCGAUCCGUUGGCGUAAGGAGGCACAAAAAUUCCAUGUCAAUAUACUAAGGACAAUCAGACGUAAAUAAAUACUAUGAACAAAUAAAUAGAUCAAUAAAUAGUAGACUUCAUCGUAAAUAAAAGACAACAGCAGCAAAAAUUGAUAACAGAUUACGAAGCACCUAAAGGAAACAAGACAGAAGGAGUGACUUUUGAAGCUUAGUAAGGAGAGCAUAAGGAGAAUGUGGUUUAGAAGAAUAGACAACGUUAUAUAAGGAAUGAAUAGUGGAGCUUUGCAGUGGGUGUUAGGAGCAUAAGGUGAGGCUUGGGAGAAUAAAUUGAGAAGGUUAGGCUUAGGAGAACAAGUUAAGAGUAGAGGAUGAGGUUUAGGAGGAAAAACAACAUUAGUAAGGGGUUAAGAGUGAAGCCUAUCAGAGGAGAGGAUGUUAAGAAAAGAAGGUUAGGCUUAGGAGCAAAAUUAAGAGUAGAGGAUGAGAGGAGAAAAGAAAACAUUAGUAAGGGGUUAAGAGUGAAGUCUAGCAGAAGAGAGGAUGUUAAGAAAAGAAGGUUUAAGGAACAGAAAUUAGGAGAAGAAGGUGAGGUUUAGGGGAUUGAAAUUAGGAGAAGGUGAGGGUCAGAGAAUAGAUAUUAGGAGAAGGUGAGGUUUAGGGGAUAGAAAUUAGGAGAAGAAGGUGAGGUUUAGGGGAUAGAAAUUAGGAGAAGAAGGUGAGGUUUAGGGGAUAGAAAUUAGGAGAAGGUGAGGUUUAGGGGAUAGAAAUUAGGAGAAGGUGAGGUUUAAGGAACAGAAAUUAGGAGAAGAAGGUGAGGGUUAGGGGAUAGAAAUUAGGAAAAGGUGAAGGUUAGGGGAUAGAAAUUAGGAAAAGGUGAGGUUUAGGGGAUAGAAAUUAGAAGGUCAGGCUUAGUUGAAGAGGUCGUCCACGUCUAUGGGUUGGUAGUCGGCGGACAGCUCGUCUUCCAAGAGUGUGUCC